rnacentral:lncRNA from 1 species
GACAGGAACAGGAUGGCCUCCUGCCCGAAGACUUUCUCUGCAGCCAGGCCCGGGGCAGGAGGGUCAGCUGGGCAGCAUCCGGGCCCGCGGAUUCCUGCAAGGUCGCGAGGACCAGAAGUGCUGCCGCCAGGACAUGGUCCCAGGAGAGAGCUCCCACGCAGAAUAUUAGAAUUACAGCCCCGGCCAUUGAGGUGGAUGAAAGCUGAGCCUUGCUGCGCCAACUUGAGUCUCGUUCACCCUGAGCAGUCACAGAUGGGUCUUGUCUUUUCAGAUGCUCCACGAGGCCAUUGUCACAAUUCCAAGAGCCUGCUGGAUAACCCUGUGAGUGUGUCCAGAAACCUCAAAAUCAUUUUUGGAGACACUGCAGCAGAUUUGGUUUUUCUCAGAGCACUUCUGCAGCUGCUGAAUGCUUGCAGGCACAGGGGUCUCCUGCUUUUCAGACUUUUCCACUACUCCCUUUUCUAUCUUUGAUGCUAAAAGCAGAAUGGACUGAGAGAUGCCUUGGACAUAAGUGAUUUCACAUCUGUAACUAUAUCCUGCAAACAUUUGUAGACACAUCUUGGGAAAGAAGCACUCAUGCUUGCAUCUGUUUCCAACAUCUGUGCAUUUAAGUCAGCAACAAAAGUCACCAGGCAUUUGAGCUUUCCCUGCUAUAAUGUUUCUGAUUUACCUUGACAGCGUGAGUAAUCCAAUCAAAGACAAUAUUCCUCUUGAUUUCAGUAAUGAGAGAGACUACACUUAUCUGAAACCUGUGUUACAUUCAUCUCACCAAUACAGUACUAAUGAAAAGGACAAAUAACUGAGUCUCUCUUGGUGGCCUGCAUGCAACUGCUUAAAUACAUAAGUGCAUAGCAACAAUAUGUGAAUAACAUAUAAAAAUAAAUAUGUUC